rnacentral:rRNA from 1 species
UUUAAAGAGAGUUUGAUCCUGGCUCAGGACGAACGCUGGCGGCGUGCCUAAUACAUGCAAGUCGAACGAACUU